rnacentral:tRNA from 1 species
AAAUAAGAAGCAAAAUAUUGCAUUUAAUUUCGACUUAAAAUUAGAGUAUAAUAAUACUCCUUAUUUA